UCUCGCGCCAGCUGAGGGUUUAGAAGGUUGAAACAAGCCCUGCCGUCGUCUCCUGUGCCCUGUGCAGGUUCCAGGCGAAGCUUUGAAGGUCUCAGCCAGUGACCAUGCUUCCUACUUCACUGACAACACUGAAGCAAUCUGAAGAGAACUUCCAUAGGCUUCCAUCACUAAUUCAAUCCUCCUAUUAGCAUCUUUACCCACAAAGCCGCUUUCCAGAAGCUCAACAAAACCCAAACACAAGAAAGUGUUGAUGAAGAACAUUACAUUGAGGUACAUGAUAUUCAAAUUGCUCAGAAGCAGUGAAAAAAUCUUCAAAGCAACCAGAGGGAAAAGACAUUAAAAAGGAACAAAAAUAAGGAUAACAGCAUAUUUCUCAUUUGAAGCAUUGCAAACAAGAAGAUAGUAGAACAUUUUAAAUGUUUUGAAAGAAAAAAUACCUGUGAACCUAGAAUUCUCUGUCAAAAAUAUCUUUUAAAAAUGAGGAUAAAAUAAAGAUGCUUCCACACGUAACAAAAGAAUUUAUCACCUGCAGAUCCUCACUGUGAGAAAUGUUAAAGUAGGUGCUUCAAGCAGAAGUAAAAUGAUACCAGAUGGAAAUCUGGAUCUACACAAUGGAGAGCACUGGAAAUAGUGACAUGCGUAAAUAUAUGAAAUUUCCUGGUCGAUGAUCAUGAGGGGCCCAUUUAAGAAGUGCCAUAGGAAGCUGGCCUUAACUUGUUCAUGAUAGGCCUGGGUAUGGUACAUGACUCCCUUCCAAUAUUUUGCCACAUCUGCAUGCAGCAGAGAAGAGUCUAAUAUCAGGGGUAAAAUUUCUAAAUGUCUGGGCCUUUCUGUUAACAGUUCAUAGGGAUAUAACAGAUGUGUCUCUGAGGGAAUGGAUCAUAUGGCCAUACAGGCCCCUUUAGCCAAGGGAGCUCAAGGAUUUCUGAAAAUUUUGCUAAUUUUAAUUUAAGGAUGUCUUUGGUUGUUAUGACCUUUCCAAAAGUUUGUGGGUGGUAAGGGCAGUUUAGUUUCUGAGAAGGGGUAACACUUGACACAGUUCUCUUAUGGUGGCUCAUGUAAAUUGUGUGCCUUGGUCAUGAUAUAAAAGUGGGUAUAUGCCAGGUUGGAAACAAAAAAUCAAGCAGCUUUUUAGAGACAGAAAGGAAUGUUCAGCAAAGAAGAUUUUCAGAAAGAAAAUGCUUCAACCCGUCCUGAAAGUAAACAAAUCCCAUGGAGAGUGGGAGCUGGAUAAAGUCCAUCUGAAGGUGUUCAAAGGGCUCUUGAAGCCAUGCCUCAUCUUUACAGUUUUUCCAGGAUUAUGUUGUUCACAAGUAACACAUGAUCCAAAAAUAAUCUCAGCUGUCUUUUUUUAAAGUCUCCACAUUAAUGUUGUUUAAGAUAAUAAACAAUUUGUCUUUACCAUGAUGAGUAGUUUCGUGGAGAAAUUCAGCUAGUAUCCAUUUGAAACCAUCUGGUGCCACCAAAUGGCCAUCUUGAGAGUGCCAAGGAUUAUCUAAUUGAAGGAUACACCAUAUAUUUUCCUUUCUUCCUUUUCCAAAUCAGGGGCUAAAUGUAGAGAUUUGAUGAUGGCCUCUUUCACUCAGUCCAGAGAUGCAUCCUUUGGGAGUUUAGUCAGUAUCAUAACCUUGGUUAAGGCUGCUUGUUUAGCAAAACAGUCUACUAAAGAAUUUCCUUUGACUCCCAUAUUAUCUGUGUUAGUCUGGGCCUCAGUCUUUAUGAUAUCCCUCUCACUGGGAAAUAGAAGUGCAUCUAAAAAUUCCUUAACUUGUCCACUUUUUCUUUUUUUUGAGGAAGAUUAGCCCUGAGCUAACUGCCACCAAUCCUCCUCUUUGU